rnacentral:precursor_RNA from 10 species
UUCCCACUGCUUAUUUGAGUGCUUGGCUGUUGGACUGAUGGUCCUUGCAUAGUGUUGGCUGAAUCAACUCUGCAGGUUCACAUCAGCCCUAUAGCCGGCACCAGUCUACAGGACGAGGAGUC